AAGUCGUAACAAGGUUUCCGUAGGUGAACCUGCGGAAGGAUCAUUAUAGAAUUGGUUGCUUGCAACCUUCACUAUAACAUACUGUUCACGUUCCUGUUGCUUCCCUAGCGUUAGGAGGCUUUCCCUUCUGGGAUUGUUUCUGCUAGGGAACUUUGUCAAACAUAUUGUGUAUUUAUUCUGAAUCAACCAUGAAAAUGGAUAUUAAAACUUUCAACAACGGAUCUCUAGGCUCUU
rnacentral:misc_RNA from 1 species